rnacentral:rRNA from 1 species
CUACGGGGCGCAGCAGUGGGGAAUAUUGGACAAUGGGAGAAAUCCUGAUCCAGCAAUUCUGUGUGCAUGAUGACGGUCUUCGGAUUGUAAAGUGCUUUCGACAGGGAAGAAUAAAUUGACGGUACCUGUAUAAGAAGCGACGGCUAAAUACGUGCCAGCAGCCGCGGUAAUACGUAUGUCGCAAGCGUUACCGGAAUCACUGGGCAUAAAGGGCAUCUAGGCGGUUUGAAAAGUCAGUGGUGAAAGGUAUGGGCUCAACCCGUGCAUUGCCAUUGAAACUCUUAAACUAGAGUAUGGGAGAGGAGGGCGGAACUACAAGAGUAGCGGUGAAAUGCGUAGAUAUUUGUAGGAAUGCCAAUGACGAAGGUAGCUCUCUGGACCAAUACUGACGCUAAAGUGCGAAAGCUAGGGUAGCAAACAGGAUUAGAUACCCGGGUAGUC